GAAAGCUAUAUUUUCUAUAUUUAGCUUGUUGUCUAUCUGUGGUAAAGGAUCAUUGUUGCCCAAAUUGCCACUCGCUGCUAUACUUUUCUGUUUCCUUCUGUACCAGAAUGCCACGGCCAUGCCAAUUACUAUCAGCUUCUAAGUGCUUACGCAUUAUGUGUCUACACAUCUCACUAGGAAGUGAUAAUGGACAGUUUCCUACAGUGCAGUCUGGGAUUUGAGUGCCAUCUCCUAUGUUACUUGACUAACCUGUCAUUAAGGAAAUAGUCCAUCACUGCUUCAAGUUAUAAUGUCCAACAAAAAGGUCCAGGAGCCUUUUCUGGUAUUUUAAGGAGUCCGUGGAAAUCAGAACACUACUCUUAGUAACAAUUAUCCUAUUUCCACUAAAACUGUAAGCAUUGAAAUGUCUUUCCAUCACUUGCGACCUAGAGUUGGUGCUGACUCUGCCAGUUGGGGUUCAUAUCCAUAAAACUUGCCUCGCUUCUCAUGCCAGCUGCAGGUGGAGUCACCAGGCCACGCCUCUGAUGGUUUGGCUAUCAGGUGGGAAAUCCCCACAAUGCCCAUUAAGUGUGAUAAUUUGCUGGAAUGACCAACAGAACCAAGCAAAAUUGUAUCAGUAAUUAUUUUAGUUUUAUAUACACAGUGCCCACAAGGUGAUAGAUACAUGGAUAUAUCUCUGGUAUAUCACAUCUUUACCAGUCAGAGAGCUCUACUGAACCUCAGUGCCAGCAUCUUAUCAAGGUUGGAUUAUAUGGGUGUGACUAGGUGAAUUACCAGCCUUGAGAGUAAACUCAAUCCACAGCUUUCCUUUUUUUGCUAGAGGCUAGCACCAAGUGCCAAGCUCCAACCCAGAAAUUCCACAUUGCUAGUCUUUCUGAAGCCCCCACUGUAAAGCUUUGUGGGGGCCUGUGACUUGCCUCUGUAGUAUAAUGAGCACAGUCCCUAUCACAGGAUAUUUGAAAAACUGCAACAGGGUGUCGGAAAGACUCCUACGACAAAGACAAGAGGAGUCCUCCAGCAUUCACCUUACCCCAAGGCAGCAGGUGCAAAUUUGAAAGCCUGCCUUCCUGCCUCUGACUGGGAAUGGUUUCACUCUCUGAGCAGCGUUUUUGGUGGGUAACAUGAGAAGGAGGAUAACAUCAUUUCAUUACUAGCCUGUGAGAACAUUUUUAUAACCUACAGAUAAAGGUGAGGUGUGUGCAGAGCCGGGGCUAUAAAAUAAGAAAAACAGCUUUGGGUUGUUGGGAAGAAGCCAGACACCUCUGGCCCCAGGGGCCAUGACCCACCAUGCUACAUGAAUUUGUGUUGUUCUAUAGUUUAGUGACUGCAGGAAGCCGCAGUGAAGCCAACUCUGAAGGUGAACCUGCUGAAUUAGACAGAAUGAUUCUCAAGACCAGAGGCUUGCUGCAUUAUAUGAAAAUUCCUCUCCUUGAAAAAGAGAUGGGAAGCCUUUGCUGUCGAGGGAAAUGAUGGCUGGCACAGCAGGGAGGGAAAAUAAUGAGAAGAUAUCUGGGAACACUUGGAAGAGAAGGUCCUGCCGGGUACCCAUGGCCCUGAGGUUGUUUGUUCUUCCCUGCUGGAUGUGCUAGGCAGAAGAAAUCUGAAGAUCCUCAGAGCUGCACAAAAGGAGUAAGAAUCCCAAGGGUCUCUGAGUGCCCAGCACACCUGUAUACCUGUCCCACCCAACAGUUCAAGCUCAAUGGAGGUGACAGCUCACGGUCUCAGCAAUCUCUGACCAGACCCCUGGACUCUGGUGCAGGGAGACUUUCUCCAGGAUAAGUCGCAGCGAGGCCACUGACUGCCAGCCUUCUUGAUCACUUUGUUCUUCAGCAAAGCCCAGUGCAAAAUUGUCAACCCUUUCUUCACACUCUUCCAUCUUUCUAGGGCCAAACUGUACCUUGACUUUGGAAUUCUUCCCUAAAGAGAAACACAGGGGACAGCAGGAGGCAGAACAGGCUUACAGCAGUUGUGUGGAGGCAGCAAGCUUGAGAGGUGCAGGGCAAGCCUCAGGUGUCAUUUCCUAUCACAGAGCCAUCUCCGCCCUCCCCCUUUACUAUGAAGCACUUGGUUCUGGGGAGCAGUGUGGAAUGCACAUGGUGGUUGACACUGCUGAGACCUAGCUUCUACCAAGUGGCCAGGUUAGGAUCAAUGGCAGCGCUGGACCAGACCUCCAGCUCCUGCAAAGCCUCAGGGCAUCCUAGUGCCUAUUUUAAUGCAUCCCACAGGCUGGGUAAGUUCCAGGCACAUAGUCCACACUGCAGCUGUUCCCUAUCCCCUGAAGGGGGUUCUUGGAAUUUUUAUCAUAAUAAACUUCAGAUUUGAUAAGAGGCCUAAUAAAUCCAUGUCCCCUCCCAGUG